rnacentral:rRNA from 1 species
GUUGAUGCGGCGUGCUAUACAUGCAAGUCGAGCGGAUUGAUGGGAGCUUGCUCCCUGAUAUUAGCGGCGGACGGGUGAGUAACACGUGGGUAACCUGCCUGUAAGAUUGGGAUAACUCCGGGAAACCGGAGCUAAUACCGGAUAACAUGUUGAACCGCAUGGUUCAACAUUGAAAGAUGGCUUUUGCUAUCACUUACAGAUGGACCCGCGGCGCAUUAGCUAGUUGGUGAGGUAACGGCUCACCAAGGCGACGAUGCGUAGCCGACCUGAGAGGGUGAUCGGCCACACUGGGACUGAGACACGGCCCAGACUCCUACGGGAGGCAGCAGUAGGGAAUCUUCCGCAAUGGACGAAAGUCUGACGGAGCAACGCCGCGUGAACGAUGAAGGCCUUCGGGUCGUAAAGUUCUGUUGUUAGGGAAGAACAAGUACCAGAGUAACUGCUGGUACCUUGACGGUACCUAACCAGAAAGCCACGGCUAACUACGUGCCAGCAGCCGCGGUAAUACGUAGGUGGCAAGCGUUGUCCGGAAUUAUUGGGCGUAAAGCGCGCGCAGGUGGUUUCUUAAGUCUGAUGUGAAAGCCCACGGCUCAACCGUGGAGGGUCAUUGGAAACUGGGGAACUUGAGUGCAGAAGAGGAAAGUGGAAUUCCAAGUGUAGCGGUGAAAUGCGUAGAGAUUUGGAGGAACACCAGUGGCGAAGGCGACUUUCUGGUCU